UCCCAUUGAGGGAACCUUCACAUGUCUUUCCUCCUGUCUUAGUCCCAGAGCCUGUAGAGAGGGGCCCAAUGGGGCUGGCUGAGGUGGAAGAGGAAAAUUUGUUCCAGAAGGAACUACCUGAGGGAU